rnacentral:tRNA from 3 species
GGAGAGAUGGCAGAGUGGUCGAAUGCGGCGGUCUUGAAAACCGUUGAUCUUCACGGGUCCGGGGGUUCGAAUCCCUCUCUCUCCG